UUCUAUGUUACGACUUAUCUUAUCUUAAGAAUAAGAGCGACGGGCGAUGUGUGCAUAUUUUAGAGCUAAAAUCAAAUUUUUAAUCUAUAAAAUUUUACUAUCAAAUCCAUUUUCAUUAAAUAUUUCAAAUUUAAAUUCACUUAAAUAAUUUUAUUGUAACCCAUUUCUACUUAAAUAUAAGCUACACCUUGAUCUGAUAUAAAUUUUAAUAAAAAUUAUGGAAAAUUAUUAUUCUUAUAAAAUAUUCUUAUAACGACGGUAUAUAAACUGAAAAACAAAUUUAAGUAAGGUACAUCGUGGAUUAUCAAUUACAGAACAGGUUCCUCUGAAUAGACUAAAAUACCGCCAAAUUUUUUAAGUUUCAAGAACAUAACUAAUACUACCUUAGUGUUAAUAUUUACAUUUUAAAUAAUAGGGUAUCUAAUCCUAGUUUA
rnacentral:rRNA from 1 species